GGGAUACAGUUUAGAGUUUACCCUUUUGAGAUGAAAAGGACUUUGAGGAUUUUGAGAUGCGGUUUUGCUCCAUGAGACAUUGCAUCGAUUUGUCUCUCCAUUUGAGGUUUAUCCUCUUCCAAACUUCUUGACUUGGAUAUGGUUUGACACCGUUAUCUUGACAGCUAUACACACCGUUAUGCUUUGGGGUUGUUCAGAGCGUCCCACCAGCUUUCCUUUCCACUUGAACUUCCACCUUAGCCACCUUGGGGUCCGCCAUCUUCAAGUCAGCCGGGUUAAGACUAGGUUGGGCUUGUCUUGUGGUCUCCAAAGCUUGAUGGUUACUGGUUCAAACUCCAUGCAUUAUGUUGCGCAUCUUCUCAUGGCUUUCUUGAAGCCUUUAGUGUUUGAAUCCAGCCUCAUGACUGUUUCAAAACACUGCACACUCACUAUGCUUUCAUGAGGGAGCAAGCGAACCCAAAUGAAAAAAAAAUACCAUCUCACUGUUUGAAAUUUUGAGUUAUUUAUGAUAGUGAGAGGUUGAGAGAAUAAAGAAUUAGGAGAUUGGUGAAGAAUAGAGAGAAUAGUGGAAGAGAACAGAAUUUAGAGAAUAAUGGAGAAUAGACAUAAUACGCGGAAGCAAAAGAGAAUAGAGAAUAGAGAAUUUCCUCAAGAGUUCAAAUGGACAGAUUUUUGCUCAGUAUUUCCUAAGUUUUGCGGAAGCAAAGAGAGCCAAGAACAACCAAGAACAGCAAGAACUUUGGUGUUUUAAUGGCUUUAAAAAAAAUUACUCACAGAAUAACAUAUGGAGAAGAAUUUUUUGUGAGCUUUAAACAACAAGAGCCAAGAAAUAACACAAGACUUAGUGUUUUCCAUGACUUUAAACAAGAGAAAAAACAGUCUUGAAUAAAAAUGGUGAAAACGAGAUUUGGAACGUUACCAAGAAAGACUGCUCUGAUACCAUGUUGGAAUUUUUGAAAAUGAGAGAAGGAACAAUCAACUUGUGACUGAACCAACACAAAGAACUUGAUAGAACCUCACCAAUUUGAAUGAAACCGAUUGUAUCAAGGAGAGAAAUAAAUCUAUAUGAGACUGAUCCUGAGGAUUAAUUCAACACAAUCAGAGUUUUUAUACUCAAGAGAAGGAUCAGAAUCUGUAAUUAGAUUCAUUAUUAAGAGAGAAAUAACAGCAGAACUAGAAAUUGUUCUUUAGUAGAGAAUGAGAAAAGCAAAUGAAUCACUCUUGAAUUACUUAGGAAAGGACGAACUCAAGAGUGUAUUUGGCUGCUAUAAUGAAUCGAAUACAUGACUAUCUAUACUAAUUCUUUAAACCGCAUAGCCGAAAAUCUCGGAAAAGAUUUUCAGAAUAAUUCCUUUUCGCCUCGUGCAGCCGCCGCCAUAACGCUUUGCCUAGGGUUUUUACAGGCCUUACAUCUUUGCGGCUAGGCCCAUUUGUUGUUGGAGUCUGCUUACUGAAGCAUCAUGCAGUUCGGCCCAACUAAUCGAGGCGCGGCUCGGCCCAUGUCUCACGAUACGGCUCGGCCCACUUACUCCCUCGCAGGGCUCGGCCCAAUCCAACUAAGAUGCGGCUCGGCUCGGCCCAUGUGCGUAGCUCGGUUUUUCCUUUGCGGGCCUUGAUUUUUCCAGGUACUUAAUCAUUUUCAAGAUGGUUAAAAUGUUUGGUGUGAAACUGACCCCAACAGUUAGCCCCCAGCUCGUCAGUUUCGGAGACGAGAGUGACAAGGUUCGUCAUUCUCGGUCACAGAAUUAACCAUCGUGCUAAGGAAUAAAGGAGAGACGAUGCUCUUUGCGGAAUCCUUACACGUUGCUUUCACUGAGGCGUGCCGCGAAGAGUAAUAACGAGGCGUUUGCUCGAUAAUGCCGAGCUGAAACGAGGCGCUUUGUAAAUCGAAGCCGAGCCGUUAAACAUUAACAACGACGAGGCGUUUUGUUUGAUAAUGUUGAGCCGUCGAGGAAUAAUGGCCACGAGGCAUUUCAUGUGUUUAACUGAUGUCAGAACAAGUUUGGUGAUAAUGAUAACGACGAGGCGUUUUCAUCUCAAUGAUACCGAGCCGUGUAUAGUGAUAACAACGAGGCGUUUUCAUCGCGAUGAUUCUGAGCCAUGUAUAGUGAUAACGACGAGGCGUUUAUCAAAUAUUGGGGGGGGGGGGCUCAGCCGUAUCUGUUGCGCUCUUUCAUGAUAAUCCGAGGCGCGUGUGUUGAACGCACUCUGUUACUGGUACAUCUCUUAAGGAGGCUGUUUGCAGAUUCCAAGCGCCGUAUUUAUGACUUCGCUGAUCUCCAAGGUUCAUGUGGACCCCAUGCAAUUUGGUACUUCUAUAUAAGGGGUCUUUCGCUCUCAUUCUCUUCAUAACUUCAGACCAAGUUCACAAAGGUAGCUCUCCCUUCUUUCUUCUUUCUCUCUCUAGUUUUUUUUCCCGGCUAGGGUUUUGAGGUCUCCGCCGCCGCCGAUCGCUUUUUUCCGACAAGCCUUGCCGCGAAGUAUCUUCUGUAGCUUCUGUAUUGUUUUGUUAAUUAUGUCGACCGUUCUCAGGAUUCGCUAGAUUCUCUCUUUCAUUACGAGUUGUUCCAUGCGAACGCCGAGACGAUAGAUGCGACGGGGUCAUGUAGUUCAAAGUGUCCUGAGGCGUCCUCUUCGGUGAAUCCUUAUCCUGUUCAUCCAAUAGAAGACGAGGCGUCUGACUCGACGACCCAUUCCUGUGACCGCUCUGUAAAUAACAAGGCGUCCGCUUCUACGAGUUCUUCCCGGGUUCCUGUACAAAACGAGGCCGUAGACUUUGUCGAGGUGAAAGCCGAGGAGGAAAUUUUUUCUUUCGAUCCGGUCGAAGCAAAAUUCGAGCUAGAGCGUGUCAUGGCGAGCCGAGGUGCUUCCUCUUCGGGGAAGAAGAACGUCCGCCGAGGGAAAUGGCAAAGAUCCGAUCUUCCCGGUUCUACUCUCUCAUCCCCUGAAUCUCUCGAGGUGUUACAAAACCGCUUCAGAAUCUCCGAGGCAGUAGAAUUCAUUGUCCCGGGGAAGACGGACCGAGACGACCGUCUUCCCGCGAAUCACUUCACCGUAUACGAAGCGUUAUUUGACUUGUGCUUUCUCUGGUUUCCAAUUCCCAAGGCUAUCCUUGAAUAUUUAUGGAAACAUGAGAUCUCGUUCGGGAAAAUCAUGCCGAGGGGUUUACGACAUAUGGUCGGCAUUCUUGUUUUGGAGUUUUGAAUGUGGGGUUGAUGUCGAGCUGAAUCACCUGCUGAACUUGUUGGAAAUUCGCAAGGCCCCGGGGCGGGGGGGAAUAAAUUUUACAUCUCCAGCAAGUCGAAAAGUCAGAUUAUCAAUGGUUUCCCGAGCAAAGAUAGUUUAUGGACCGAGUACUUCUUUUACAUUCAAGUGAACAAGGCGUUGGUGGGCGAAGGCUUUAUCUACAUGGUCAAAACAGAUUGGGGACCACUUGGUAGCCGACCCGAAGCCUUGCUUUGGCUCGGAGCUUUUCGAAGAUUUUCUUUCAUUUUUACGACUCACUUUUAUUUUGUUUUCUUAUGCAGUUCGGAAUUUUCUCCCUCUAAAUCCAGAAGAUCUGUUUACAAUUCAAGACGCCUUAGCCGAUAGAAAGUUCAACAGGAAACGCCACUUCUCUGACGAAAGAGUGGAGAGAGCUCGUUCCAUCCUAGCUAAGGUUCCAGUUAACUCAGAAUCUUCUGAGUCUUUAGAUGAUACGAGAAAGAAGAUGGUUCUGAUCACCCUGAGAGAACGAAAGAGGAGGGAGGCCGAGGAGGCUGUAAGGCGAGCGGCGGAGGCUUCUAAGCAGGACAAAGAAAACACCGAGAAGACCGGUGAGACCGCCAAACCCGACGAGGAGGUGUUGGCUUGGGACGAGCCGGCGGAUUCUAAGGAGAGAGGCGACAAGGCGAUUGUUUCUGGCUCGAACGCAGCCAAGUAGGGUGAUGUUGAACAGGGAGAGAUUGUCCCCGAGGCAUCCACCAGAACGCCGAGCAUGUCGAGGGAUCCUUCUACGCCUCUUGCGUCGGCAUUGCUCGCGCUUCCCCAACCGACGAGGCCCGAUGCUUCUAACCUCGUGAAACACGAGGCAAUGAAACGCGGACGAUCUGCAGAGGAGAAAGCCAAAGGAGUAGCUGAUGGGCUUGCUGGCCUAGGGUUUGUUUUUAACAAGUCCUUUGGUCCUCAAAAAGUUUUAAAUUUAUAAAACCCUAGUGUCUGCAAGUGCACAGAUGUACGUUGUAGGACUUAGGGUGUCGAUCCACAGGGAGGAUGUCUAAUCUGUGAGAAACAACAAACUGGGAAAGUAAGCAAAGUCAUAAACUCAUGGGAUUUGGGGUUUUUGGUUAAGAAUCCUAAACUAAACCAAAUAUAAUAUUCACAAGAAUUAAGAUGCAAUGCAAGAUCAAUUGUUAAAAGAAUAUCUCAAGCAUAUCGACUCAAACUAUAGACUCAAAAACUCAUAGGUGGUGAUUUAGACUCCUCCGGUUUACUCUAAUUGAUGUAUGCUGGCAUUUCCAAUUAACUUCCGGGUGAUUUAUCUUCAUCUGUUUCUGGGAUCUGCAUGGAACUAGAAUAGACAUGUGUACGAUUAACCAACUCUCGCCAUCUUAAUCAAUUAAUCACUCAGAUAUGACAAUUAACUCUCGCUCUCAUGUCAAAAAUAAGAUCAUGGAUUAGAAAUUGAAUUCGUCUGCUCACAUCUUCUCUAUAGGUAGUUCUCGACUUCUAUAGUGACUAUGUUCUUCUAAAGCUAGGUAUGGAUGAUCUGAUACAUCAUUCUUGUGGCUCUGAUCGAUCCUAGGCUCAGAGAAUAGGUCAUGAAUCUACUCUCAUGCAAUAUGAACAACUUAGAAGAGAUGAGAUCAAGAAUAUGGUUUAGAAACUUAGAAGUCCUAAUCGAUUAUCGAAAUCUUCAAACAAAUUGACUCUCUGGAACAAAUCUACAUGAUGCAAGGAAUGAUAAAAGACAUAGAAGAAUGAAAAAGAAUGAAACAGGAAAGUUAAUAGGAUAAAAAGGAGAAAGUACAAUGGAUCUGGGGAAGAAUCCCCAUCUCCAUCGCCUAACCCUAGAAAAACAAAGUUUGGUGGCUCAAAAUCUCUUUAUAAAAGCACACACCCGUUUAGAACUACUAAGAAAUGUAUUUAUAGGUCAUAGGGUCUUCUAGGUCUCAUUUAGGGCUACUCUGAAGAGGAAUGGCAAAGUGGCAUUUGAUGUUGGGCCUUGUGGCUCGUCCUUAGGUCAACCGGGGGUGAGAGUCUUCCAGGGCAGGUAAAAUUUAGUUUUCCUGUGGGUGAAAGUCUUCUGGGGCCGGUGAAUUAGGUCAACUUGUUCUCCAUGUAUCUUGUGAUUGCACCGCGAUGUAAAGUGCUAUGAAAAUCUGGUUGUCUCCUCUUGAUUGUCUCCAAAUUUGAGCUGGAUCAGAAGGUGAGAAAGUCUUUAUUUGAGGCUGAACUUCUGACGGUCUGACUCUGAGCUGAAAAAGUGGAUCUCUUCCAUUUUGCCAUCAUUUUCCCUAAAUUUUCUGAAAAGAGCCUUGAAACUACAAAUACAUGGAAAUCAUAAUAAAAGUUCUUAAAACUGAUUAAAACCUUUGAAAAAACAUUUGAAAUCAAUGGUGAAAAUGGGUACAAAUACGUUGUUAUCAGUACCUUUGACAAGGACGAGAUCCAGAAGAACAAGCAGAAGGUGUUCCCCAAAAAGCUUGUUGUCAAUGAUGCCGAGGCUUCGGCGUCUCUUUUCUCGAAGAUCAACAAUGACAACGUUGUCCUGCCGCGCCCCGAGAAGCUUAGACGGUUGAAGUUCUAUGUCGCAAUGCACAGCGCGGGACCAAGGUAUGGUUCCCUGUUUAAUCUUUAACACUCUCUUGCAUUAAAACUCGAUUUUGAUCUUCCGUCUUUCUUAAUUUUAUGCCGCAGUGAAUGAUAUGAUGGCCGGCUAUGAGGCUGACGCACUUAAAGACGAGCGUCACUUUGAACAGGCUAGACCUGACGCCGCGACUUUUAAGGACGAGCUAGAGAAGGCCUCAGGGGAGAAUGCGAAAGCGUUAGCCCAGAUCGAGGCACUCGAGGAAGAGAAAAAAGUCUUGAAGGCGGACUGUGACAAGAUAGGCACCCGUUAUGAGGAAUCGCGGGUAAGGAAGAACAGCGAAAUCACUUCCCUGAAGAGGCAGAACGCGGCAAAAGACUCUCUUCUUGAGUCACGGGUAAAGAUUGCCUAAAAGGAGGCCAGACGUGAGGCGGUGGCUAAGGCGCGACUAUCCGAGAUUGAGAAGAAAAUGGCAGAGCUGGAAAGGCUAAAGGAGAUGAAAAUGUCAUUGGCCAAAUUGAUAACACCGUAUUUUGACCACUUUUAUGGAUCGUUUUGAAAUACUUUUUCUAUGUUUUUAAUUGUUUUUAAGUACUUUUAUUACAUUUUUCUAGUAUUUGUAGUUUCAAGACUCUUUUCAGGUAACUUAGGGAAAAGCUUAACAAAAUGGAUAGAAAACCAUAUUUCAGCUCAGAGUCAAACCGUCAGAAGUUCACCCCUGAUUGAAGGCCUUCUCACCGUCUGAUCCAUCUCAAAGUUGGAGACCUUAAAGAUGGAAGUAUCAGCUUUCCAGUGCACUUUACAGCUUGGCAAUCCAACGGUUCAAUCAAAAGAUACGCGAAGAGCAAGAUGUCCCGUAAACCAGCCGGCAAGCACUUCCACCCGCGGCCAACAAGCAUUUUCCCGCGGUCAGGAGCAUCCCGACCGUGGCAAACCACUCAUCCACCGCGGUCACACUUGUCCCGACCGCGGCCUUCAACCUCAGAGCCCAAAAAGCCCAUUUCUGAAGCCCACAUUUGGAGAAACCCUAAGUGACGUCCAGAGAGGUCUUGAGCACUAUAAAUACAUGUCUUAGGAGCCCUAGAAAGGGUGGAACCGAAUACCAUCUAUCAUUACUUCAUACUUUAUUGUUUUUGCUUUAGAUUUUAGGGAGAGAGAGAUUUGUUCUCUUGAACCCUUGUUCUUUCUUUAUCAAUUUCGGUUUCUAUUCUAAUUCUUAAUAUUAUGUCUUUGAUUUCGUUCAUUAUGUCUGAGUAGUUUUAUUGUUGGGAUUAAGGGAUUUUCGAUGGGGAUAUAUAUGUUCGGUGAGGAUUCCAUUGGCUAUUGAGCUGAAUCUUAGAACUUUUUCUUCUGAAUUCGUUUUUACUGCAUGAGAGUAGCGCCAUGAACUACAAUCUGAUCCAGAUGCUUGGUGACACGAAAGUGUUCAUCAGGUAUCAGAUGUAGUUUGGGAGAGAAAAACAAAAAUAGGAGUGGAAACCUACCUAUGGGCGAUUUGUGAAUUAGGACGAGUCUUAAACAUAAUGCAUCUCUUCUCUUCCAGGGCCAGAGUGGAAACCUACUGGUCAGGCUUGAGAGAGAUAGUUGUCUAUGAUCACGACAGUGGCGUAUUCAUAUGUCCGUGACUCCAGUUCGAAAAGUUUAAGCUAAGAUCUUACAAAAUUUACUCUCUAGCAAUGUUUUGAAUCGUUCAUACCCCUGAGAAAACUUCCCUGAACCCCAACGCUUUCUUCUCCAUUGAUUUACACCGAUUUUCUUUCAAGCUUUAGUUCAAUAUUGUCUUUCCUUUUUAGUUCAUUUUCAUUUAAGCAUUAGAAUAUCCAUUUUUAUCAUUUUUAGUCAUUUUCGUUAAGUUUAGUUAUUACGCCAUUUAAUUUCCGUAUUCUCUUUUAAGAUUUCGUUUUUAGAUUUUAAACACACUACCAAACCCCCACUAAACCGUUUUUGUUCUAGACUUCCUUACUUUAACUUAUUUCAAAGGCUUUUUGCAGGAAAAUAUCCUCCUUCCCUGUGGAUUCGAUCCCUAAGUACUACAAUCGAUCAGCUGUGCACUUGCGGCUAUUGAUUUCAAUUAGGGUAAAACUUGACACCCACAACACACCAUCAUCAAGUUUUUGGCGCCAUUGCCGGGGAAGGCACGCGUUUUCUUUUCUGCAAAACCCCGAGAAAGGUUAGUAAAUCGACUCUAGAACCCCCUUUUCUGCAACUUUCCAUUUUUCGGUUAUUUUGUUUCCAUUUCAGAAGAUAUGGAUCCUAUAAAUCGAAAUAUACACUAUGAGAAAGGUUUCUAUAACACUCCUCAAGCCACUCAACGCCGAGAAGCACAAUACAUUCGUGAUCUCUCCUCAAUGGAUCAGAAUUCAACUCCGAACCACCACAAAAGAGGACAUCGCAGCCACUACAAAUCAAUUCGCGAAGGUUUAGAGGAAAAAGGAUUCUGCUGGGAGACCAUAACAACUUACAAUACCCACGAAGAUAUCCAUGAUCGUCUCUUUGAUGUAGAUAUGUCGUCUGUCUCCCAAACCGAGAUCGAUGAUAUGCUUCAGGAGCUCAAUGAAUCUAUGGAUGAUGGGUAUUGGGUAUCUUGUGAAGUAGAUGGAGAAUCCUCCAUCAAGUUUGUUAGAAAGAGGCCAUCAAAUGAAAUUCCUUAGGAUCAUCAUGUCAUGGAAGCCAGCUAUCAAGAAAAAGGAGAACCUCUUUCCAUCCUUAGUGACGAUCUCGUCUCUACCGAUUCAUUCAAGUGUUUUGGAGAUGACAAACAAGAUCAUAAGUCCCUUCCUCUUGAUGAACCAAAGCCUUGUUCUCCUUCAGCUCCUCACCAUCUUGAAUGUAAGACAGACCACGUGGAAGAUAAGACACUAAUGGUGACAUCAAAAUCACCAUUGGAGGCGCUUUCUAAGACGAAGGAUUCCGAGAAGUUUGAUGCCCCAUUCUCAAUCAAGGAAGUGAAAUUUCGUGAUUCUCGUUGUGAAUCUGGACCUGGUGUGAAUCUCAUACCAAAGACCAUUGCAGAGAAUACAGGUAUUUCGAUUUUUCAUCCCUCAAAGAUUGAUAUUCACUAUGGAGAUUUUUCUGGUGCAGCUCUACUUGGUUCCAAACCAAAAUUGCCUUUUCAAGGGAAAGGUUGUCUUGUUUCUACUGGUUCCCAUGCUAUGGAGAUGAGAAACAAUGCAACAAAACCCUUGAUACUUGGUAUUUCGUGUCUAGCAUAUGUUGGAACACUCAUCAACUACCUGCAUCAACAUAUGAGUUUCCAGAAGAUCAACAAGAAAACCCCAUACCCGGUGAUUACUACAAGGAACUCUCAUUAUCUGAAAAUAGGAGGCGUAGAUGAUCCAAUAUUUGACCCUGGAGGAACUACAAAGGAUGUUGGAUACGUUCUAGAAAGAAGAGCACCCAAAGAAAACGCUGGAUUUACAAACUUGAUGAACAAAGGUACUUCCUUACGUAUAUCUUUAACUAAUGCUCAUAUAAGAGGUGAUGAAGACUUAAUUGAAACGAGAGUGAAGCUUAAAUGGCUCUCAAGACUCUUUUCCAAAGACUCCCCACAAGGAAAAAGAAUUGGAGACAAUAUGCAAGAGGAUCUGGACACCUUUUCUCGGAAAUUCACCACCGCGGUCGCGUGUGCGCUACCAGCGGCCAAACCACCUUUCCCCGCGGUCGCGUGUGCGUUACCAGCGGCCAAACCACCUUUCACCGCGGUCGCGACACUUCCACCAGCGGCCAAUGCUCUUUUUACCAAUUCUCCAACAGUUCAAGCCAUGGCGACACCUCUCCAAGCAAACUGUCCUCACCUUGGAUGCUUAACCAUCUCCACCACUUCAGAUCAUAAAGAAUCAUCUGUCCUUGUAUCUUGCAACAUGGUUCAAUGUCAUGAAGUGAGAGAGACCUUAUUCACCCCAUCAUACAAGCAUCUAAGACGUUCUCCUGUCACAAGUGGUGUUGAAGACUCAUACCUCAAAGAAGUUCCAAGACUGAUUUUUGAUCCUGGAGGAGACUACCAUCUCGAACCUGCUAGGCAAAGCAAGGAGAUGUCAAAAAAGACUUGUCUCAGGACAAGGUCCUCUUCAUUGGAAUAAGUCACGUCCAACACCAAAAGUCGAGCUAAACGACUUAAAACAGAAGCGCUUAAUGGGAGGCAACCCAUUUAGGUAUUGUUUUCUUUAGGAUUUUUCUUUCUUUUUCUUUUGAUCUUUUUCUUUUUCUUAGUUUCAAGUGUUUCUUAUAAAACAAAAAAAGCCAAAAAAAUCAAAAAAAUCCGAAAAAACCAAAAAGAAGGAUGGUACCUGACUGCUCGGCCCAGCAGGAACCAAGGAGAAGCAGGAAGAGGCCGCGAUAUAAGCCCCCGCGGUCGCAGACGUUCUGACCGCGGGAAACCUACCGUCGGCCGCGGUCGCAUAGUCCUGACCGCGGCCAAGUGCUUGAUUGCCGCGGUCGUGCAGCCCCUGACCGCGGCACUUGGUCGUUGACAUCCAAGCCCGACCCAAACCACCCACUUCACCCCAUUCCACCUCACCAAUCACCCUCCACCUCAUUCAUCACCUUCCACCACCUUCAUCACCACAUAAUCACCUUCCCAAACCACUUCGAAUGAAUCCGGUUCAUCUCCACCAUCAUCCCGGAUCCAGGUAAGUUCUCUUUGUUCUUACCAAUUCGAUUAUCUAUGCAUUUUUCUCAUCCAAUCUCGACUUGUUUCACACUGAGGACAGUGUGAUUUAAGUCUGGGGGAGGAUUUCAUCCCUUUCUAACCACUUUUCUUUCAUGAGUCUUGCAUUAUCUACACUUUUUGCAUUUUCUUUAAAGUUUUUCAAAAUCGGUUUUCAAAACAAAAUACGUUUAAAAGGGAAUGGUGAACAUGAAUCAAUGAUAGUUGACUGUGUGCUUUAGACUGUUCCUAGUGACAUGCUCAUUCAUGAUUUAAGACUAGACUAGGCGGUAGCUAAGCACAUUUGAAACGAAGUACCCCAGAGGAAUUUGAAGGAUUUUGAUUUAGAUGAAGGGAUACACUAGCUCUGUUUUAUUUGGACUUAAUUUGGAGUUAAUUUUCUCAUUGAAGCAUUAGACCAGGGAAACGAAUCAUACAUUCAGGACUCCUUUAUCCUUUUACCACUCUCUGUUGAUCCUGAAUGGCUAGUUCAUCUUUAGCUAGUUCCCCACCUUAACCAAUCCUCUUUCAAACAACAUGCACUCUUGUUUUCUAUUAUCUUAUAUGCAGAUAAGUGCAAAAACGUUGGAGAGAAAGAGGAACGACGCAGUUUUCAGUCACCAAGGACAGAGACAUGUGAUUUUCCGGAAAUGUUCCCGGAAGGAUUCAACACAAGUUGAAGCUCAGUUUGCCUUAGAAAAAUCUCAAAUUUUGGUACAAUCUCGUCCUCUAGUCUCUCUCUCUUUAAAAGGCAUUUCCUUUCCAAAAAAAAAAAAAAGUUCCGAAAAUAAGAAAAGAAAGGAGAUAAAAGCCUUAGAGAGUCUAGAGAGGUCGAAUUUUAAGUCCCAAGGCAACUGGAGUUCGAUUUUAUGGAGUUUUGGAGAUUCUUUUCUGAUUCCCGGAAAAAAAAUCUAAGUCUGGGGGAACAGCUGUUUACCACAAAGGAGGAAGGAUUAUGCAACAACAUUUGGCAAGAAGAAAUGAUUGAAAACUGUGGUCAUGAACAGGUCUUAUCUCUCUUGCGGUUUUGCAUAUUAUCUUGCAUCCUCCAGAUCUUCAGGUAACCCGAAACACUUUAACUCCACCACUUAAAUAGCCCUUGAAUGCCAAACGCCGUCUACCUUGGAUGAUGUCUUUAAUGAGAACUCACUAUUGAACUUAAUGAAUGUAGAGAGCUAGUUGACUGAAAUCAAGAUUUAAAUUAUUUAAGUUUUGCAUGACGGAAAAAGUGGACUAGUAUCUCUUGUGCUUUGGUGAGAAUUUUCUAGACUAAGUUGUGGAUUGAUACACUAUCUUUGGUCCUAGUUUAGAGUUCAUGUCUAUGAGAUUUGUGCAUUCCCUAUUUUUGUUUUCACUUAACCAGUUUAGGCUUUUGCUUUGUUUGAGGACAAACAAAGGUUUAAGUCUAGGGGAGUUGAUAACACUAUCUUUGGUUCUAGUUUAGAGUUCAUGUCUAUGAGAUCGUUUUGAAAUACUUUUUCUAUGUUUUUAAUUGCUUUUAAGUACUUUUAUUACAUUUUUCUAGUAUUUGUAGUUUCAAAACUCUUUUCAGGUAACUUAGGGAAAAGCUUAACAAAAUGGAUAGAAAACUAUAUUUCAGCUCAGAGUCAAACCGUCAGAAGUUCACCCCUGAUUGAAGGCCUUCUCACCGUCUGAUCCAGCUCAAAUUUGGAGACCUUAAAGAUGGAAGUAUCAGCUUUCCAGUGCACUUUACAGCUUGGCAAUCCAACGGUUCAAUCAAAAGAUACGCGAAGAGCAAGAUGUCCCGUAAACCAGCCGGCAAGCACUUCCACCCGCGGCCAACAAGCAUUUUCCCGCGGUCAGGAGCAUCCCGACCGCGGCAAACCACUCAUCCACCGCGGUCACACUUGUCCCGACCGCGGCCUUCAACCUCCGAGCUCAAAAAGCCCAUUUCUGAAGCCCACAUUUGAAGAAACCCUAAGUGACGUCCAGAGAGGUCUUGAGCACUAUAAAUACAUGUCUUAGGAGCCCUAGAAAGUGUGGAACCGAAUACCAUCUAUCAUUACUUCAUACUUUUAUUGUUUUUGCUUUAGAUUUUAGGGAGAGAGAGAUUUGUUCUCUUGAACCCUUGUUCUUUCUUUAUCAAUUUCGGUUUCUAUUCUACUUCUUAAUAUUAUGUCUUUGAUUUCGUUCAUUAUGUCUGAGUAGUGUUAUUGUUGGGAUUAAGGGAUUUUCGAUGGGGAUAUAUAUGUUUGGUGAGGAUUCCAUUGGCUAUUGAGCUGAAUCUUAGAACUUUUUCUUCUGAAUUCGUUUUUACUGUAUGAGAGUAGCGUCAUGAACUACAAUCUGAUCCAGAUGCUUGGUUACACGAAAGUGUUCAUCAGGUAUCAGAUCUAGUCUGGGAGAGCAAAACAAACAUAGGAGUGGAAACCUACCUAUGGGCGAUUUGUGAAUUAGGACGAGUCUUAAACAUAAUGCAUCUCUUCUCUUCCAGGGCCAGAGUGGAAACCUACUGGUCAGGGUUGAGAGAGAUAGUUGUCUAUGAUCACAACAGUGGCGUAUUCAUACGUCCGUGACUCCAGUUCGAAAAGUUUAAGCUAAGAUCUUACAAAAUUUACUCUCUAGCAAUGUUUUGAAUCGUUCGUACCCCUGAGAAAACUUCCCUGAACCCCAACGCUUUCUUCUCCAUUGAUUUACACCGAUUUUCUUUCAAGCUUUAGUUCAAUAUUGUCUUUCCUUUUUAGUUCAUUUUCAUUUAAGCAUUAGAAUAUCCGUUUUUAUCAUUUUUAGUCAUUUUCGUUAAGUUUAGUUAUUACGCCAUUUAAUUUCCGUAUUCUCUUUUAAGAUUUCGUUUUUAGAUUUUAAACACACUACCAAACCCCUACUAAACCGUUUUUGUUCUAGACUUCCUUACUUUAACUUAUUUCAAAGGCUUUUUGCAGGAAAAGAUCCUCCUUCCCUAUGGAUUCGAUCCCUAAGUACUACAAUCGAUCAGUUGUGCACUUGCGGCUAUUGAUUUCAAUUAGGGUAAAACUUGACACCCACAACACACCAUCAUCACAAAUCAGGAGCAAUCUCGUGUUCAUCGGCAAUAUCUGGAAACCGGAUGCCAGUCUCGACGCCGAAGAGGAGAAAUUGAAGAGCUGGGAAGCCAAGCUAAUUAGAGCCAAGGAAACGUUUAAGCGUGCCAUGACGGACCUAAGGGAUAAGUUAGUCGUUUUGCCGGUUUCCCUGGAUUCUGUUGACUCUUGUCUGGAAAACGAGCCGCCGGAGGUUACUGCCGCUUCGAUUGGAGUCACGGAUCCGACGGGUUCCAACAUCAAAACCCCGAGGGCUAGUGAUCUCGCAGCUGAGGGCAUCUCUGACCGAGAGGGAUAAUUUUUGUGUCCUCGCUUAUGUACUGAAUCAUAUUUUUUUUGUGUCUGGAUGGCUUUAUCCAUACUUAUUGGCUUGUUUGUUUCUGUUUCUGAACCUUGUGCAUGGACGGCUUUAUCCACCUUCUUUUGUUUGCUGAACUCUUGAGAGACUUAUCUGAUAAUGGUUUUACUUAUAUUUCUCGUGUUUGGAUAGUCUUUCGGUUUCUGCCGAGCUGUUUCGAGCAAUAGUAAUGAGGCGUUGUCACUAAGUGACGAACUGUUUUAGGUUAAGAUUCUUUAACGACGAGAUAAGGAUUAAACGCCUCAUUUUUUCUGAGUUGUGGUGUGUAACAUGUCCGAGCUGGUAAGUAUGCUUUUUUUGGAGCUUAGAAUCAUCUUCGGUCUUGAUGAUUUUGUAGUUACUACAACUUGUUUAUCCCUUUUUGCGAGGAAUACUGAUAUUUAUGUGAUAUUGACUGUUUUUAUCGAGGCGUUUAAGCCACAAGUUAUAUUAUGCUGAAGCGUUUUUCAGGCAGGGGACAUAUAUUAUGAGGAAGGGUUAGGCUUUGUUGCCGAGGUGUUUAACUUGGGCCGGUUUUUGCUUACCGAGGUGUUAGACUUGAAUUUCUCAUUGCCGAGGUCAAAAUCCAGAGGGAUAGUGUCAGAGUACGACUAUAGACCGGCGUUCCCGAGAGAGUGAGUGUGUUUUGUCGGGUAUUAAGAGUUCACUUCGGUUUUAAAGAAAACGAUGCCGUCUCAACUUAUAAUAUCGUGUGCGAUAGUGAGCUGUGGCGACCGAUACGUUGUUGGUCUGAAAUAUGUAUAGCGCGCAAAUUUUUAUUAGUAGAGGAUGUAACUUGCAUUCUUGUCCUAGGAAAGGUGGUAAAAGUCUGUUUAGAGAACUUUGUAUUUGUAGUCUCGUUGUGGCUAGCAACGAGACGAGGUGUUUGGUGUUUGGAUACCGAAGUGAAAUAGUAACAAGCAAGAAUUUUGCCAAAGCAAUGUGUGAUCAAUAAAGCAAUUUGUGAGACAAGUAAAAGCCUAGUCGACGUAAAACAAGUGAAUAAGAGACUCGACAAAGUGAAAAUAAACUUAGAGAUAGCUGACUCGACGAGCUAAGUAUUUAUGUAUAUGUACCCACUUCCAAGGACGGGAUGCCUACGUAUCCUUUGCAGGAAUAAACCAGUCCUAUAGUUCAUGUAAGUUGUUGUGUAUUCUUAGUGAUAAUACUUCUUCAGGUGCAUGGCGUUCCACAAUCUCUGAAUCGCUUCGUCAGCCGUUGUUGCGAGUUCAUAGACUCCUAGACGAACCACUUUUGUGAUCUUGUAGGGGUCUUCCCAAUUUAUUCCGAGCUUUCCUGCAUUCCUUUCGGUAAUGUUUUGGAAUAUCUUUCUAAGGACGAGCUCCCCUUCUUGAAAUCUUUGGCUUCAGACAUUUUUGUUGUAAUAUCUCGCCGUUACUUGUUGGUAGUUCUGGACUCGGAUUAAGGCCUGGUCGCGCCUUUCGUUGCCUAGAUCGAGCUCGUCCAACAUCAUCAGGUAAUUCAAACCUUCUUGUCCUGGCAAAAGUCUUCGUCGAAUUCCAGGGAAAUUCACCUCGGGAGGGAUCACACAUUCUGUUCCAUAAACAAAGGCGCAUGGGUUUCUACAGUGGUUCGGCAUGGAGUUGUUCGAUGUGACCAAAGGAUUCCUUCCAGUUCGUGCCCAUCGUUAUCUCUUUUUUAACCCGUCCAAGAUUGUUUUAUUAGCUGCUUUGGCUAGUCCAUUCCCUUGGGGAUAUCUCGGCGUGGAUUUACUUAGGCGAAUUUUCCACUUCUCGCAGAAAGUUUCAAAGCGAGUUGAGAUGAACUGAGAUCCAUUGUCGGUGACUAUCUCGUAGGGAACCCCAUGUCGACAAAUGAUGUUCUUCCAGACGAAGUGUUCGACCUGGGCGUCCUUUAUGCUUGCGUAGGAGUCGACCUCGACCCAUUAGAAGAAGUAGUCUAUAAGAACGAGCAGGAAACGCUUCUGCUUUGACCGGUGUAGGGGUCCGACUAUGUCCAUCGACCAUAUCAUGAAAGGAUAGGGCGACGAAAUUGAGGACAGCAGCUCGGUUGGAUGACCGAUAGUAGGCGCGUACCGCUGACACUUCUCGCACUUUGCUGUAAAUUUCUUGCAGUCCUUGACCAUCGUAGGCCAGAAGUAUCCGUGCCGUUUUAUCUUGAUCGCUAAGGACCUUCCGCUAGAAUGAUUGCCAUACGCGCUGCUUGCACCUCGUGCAUUAUUUUCCUUGCUUUGGAUCCUUCGACGCACUUCAUUAGUGGUCCUGCAAACCUCCAUUUGAAUACUUCACCGUCGACGAGGACGUACCGUGCGGCUUGAGCCUUUAGUUUGUGAGCCUCCCAUUUGUCGGAUGGGACUUGUCCAUCGGUGAUGUAGACUCGAAUUGCUCUGAGCCAUUCAUUGUCGCAGUCAUAUUCUUGCUCGGGUGAAGAGGCGUCUUCUUCCAUUGCAGUUGCCUCGUCGUUAUCUGGUUCUUCCUCCGGGAGGUCGAUCAGCCGAACUCCUUCUACUACUUCUAUGCUCGUCCAUUCGAUGAGUUCGACCAGAAUUUUUCUUUAGAUAUCGUGAUCCGAGGUUGAGGCGAGUGCUGCUAAGGCAUCCGCCGAGGUGUUUUCCCCUUGGGGUAUUCAUGUGAGCUUGAACUCGUCGAACUGUUCUAAUAAGUUAUGGACUACUCUGUGGUAUGCUCCCAUUCUUCCAUCAUUCAAUGAUUCGUACUCUACUUCGUUGUUCGAGGCGUGGAAAUUCAGGCGGAAAGACUGCUCCAAGAUUUCUCCUGUUGGCGAGGUAAGGCGAAUUCCUAUUCCCGAGCUGGUUUUGACGACGAGACGUCGACAUGCAGUGUCCAAACUUCAUCCGGAAUCAGCUCGAUUGUUGUCUCGGUUGAGACUUCAAUGAGGAAAUUUGCGAGCACAUGAGAUUUUGCGGAAGACCUAUUCUGAUACUCGAUAUCAUACUCGCUUAGCUUGAUGGCCCAUUUGGCGAGCUGUCCUAACUGGCUCGGGCUAUGCAGAAUUAAGCGCAAUGGAAGGGUUACGAGCACCACAAUCGAAUGUGAUUGAAAAUAGGGACGCAGUUUGCAAGCCGACAUUACGACAGCUAGGGCGACCUUCUCAAUCUCCAGGUAGCGAGUCUCGACAUCGAUUAAUGUCUGACUAACAUAGAAGAUGGGCUUUUGUUCUCCGCACUCCUCUCUUAUUUAUACUCCGCUUACAGCCGUGGCGGAUACGGCGAUGUAAAGGAAAAGCGGUUCUCCUUCUAAUGGUUUCGUCUAGACUGGUGGGCUCGCUAAAUAGUUUUUAACUACUGGAAAGCUGCUUCGCAUUGCUCGUCUCAUUCAAAAACUUCUUAUUCCCACGGAGGAUAUCAUAGAAGGGAGGGCACUUGUCGGUAGACCGUGAGAUAAAUCGGUUUAGCGCAGCGACUCUUCCUGUGAGCCGUUAAACUUCUCGCUUCAUUCUUGGAGAGAACAUCUCGAUACCUCGGUGUGUUACCAAAUGCCGAGGAAUUCUCCCGAGGUUACCGCGAAUCUAUACUUCGCCGGGUUUAGCUUCAUAUUGUGCUCGUUCAGUAGCUGGAAACAAUCUUGUAGAUGUGUGACAUGAUCCUUUUCUUCAAGCGAUUUGACUAGCAUGUCGUCGAUGUACACCUCCAUGGUUUUCCUGAGCUUAGCUGCAAACAUCUUAUUGAUGAGCCGUUGAUAUGUUGCCCCAAAGUUUUUGAGUCCGAACGGCAUGACUUUAUAGCAAUAUAUUCUGCGUUAAGUUAUGAACGCCGUUUUCUCUCUGUCGUCAGGAUGCAUCAAGAUUUGGUUAUAGCGUCCAUGAAUGUCUGCAAGUUGUUUCAUGCCGUAGCAUCGACAAGCCGGGGAAGUCUGUGAAGUCUAUGCAGAUUUGGGCAAGCCUUGUUGAGUCUGUGAAGUCUAUGUAGACUCGCCAUUUGCCGUUUUUCUUCUUCAACACCACUGGGUUUGCGAGCCAGUCCGGAUAUUUUGCCACAGCGAUCGAUCCUACUUUGAGCAGUCUUUCCACUUUGUCGUUGACAGCUUUAGCUCGUUCAGGGCCAAGCUUUCUCCGCUUCUGCUUGAUUAGUUUGAAGGUCGGAUCUACGUUUAACUCGUGACAGGUCACGUUGAUGCUUAUGCCCGGCAUAUGUACCGCACUUCAGGCGAAAGGAAAGGAGUUCGUUCUUCAAGGGCUCUCCUAACUUGGCUUUGAUCUUGACGCACACCGAGUCCACCGCAUCGCAUAUUGGCUUGACGCGUGUCUCGCGGUUCUCCACGAUCUUUAAUUGCUAUAAGAGUUUGGAGAGCUCUCGGUCCGUCUUAAGAUUCUUGCAAUCCACAUCGGCGCCUGCAUCAGUGACGGGAUUCCUUAAUUUGUGCUCCGUCAGGAAACACAUUCGCGACUCUUUUUAAUUUCUCCAAAUCGUCUUGAUGCCUGCUAGAGUCGGGAACAUGAUGCAGAGGUGAUUGGUUGAAGGGAUUUCUCUCAUAGCAUUAAUCCAUGGAGUUCCCAUGAUCAUGGUGUAGAUCGUUGGUUGGUCGGUGACUGAAAAUUCGAUGAUCUUGGUGACUCCUCCAGCUACCACAGGAAGUCUGAUCGUGCCCAUAUUUAUCGUUGUUUCUCCUGAAAAUCCAGUUAGAGGCUUAGGGGUAGCCAUCACCUCGGAGAGGUUGAUUCCCAUUCUUUUGAGUGUCUCCCUGAAGAUAACAUCCACCGAGCUCCCAGUGUCGAUGAGUACUCUUACCACGUCAUAGUCUCUAAUCGUCAGUUCAAUCACCAGUGGAUCAGUGUGCGGCCUAUCUGUUCAUGUCGUUUCCUCCUCGGCAAAAGAGAUCACCGUAUUUGGGAGGUCGGUUGGUUCGGCCCCGUUCUCCUUUGCUUCUGCUCGGCGCUGAUAGGCUUUGAUAGAGGACACCGUGUCUUGGUAAUGUUGGGAUCAACCCAUAAUCAUGUUGAUCCUUUGCCUCGGCUCAGAUCGUUCCUCGGGUUUGCCUCUCCUGUCGCGCUUGGUAUUGUCACCUCUUCGGGUAGAUUUUUUGCUUCUACCGCGCUAUUCGGCUUGGUUCCCUCCUUGGGUUCAGUAGGGGCGAGGUUUUUGAGAUUCACUGCGCUCUAGAGUUCUUCUGCUGUCAUUUUAGCUACAAGCUUCGCUCCCAGAGUUCAGCACUACGCUGUUAAAUGCCGUGGGUUUGGUGAUAUUCGCAAAACGCUUUUUCGUCGUAGUUGGUAGGCCUCCUCACCCAAAUGUUGUUAUGUGGCUCACCUCUUCCGUGGCCAGCACCUACUUGGUAACUGUGGGCGCCUCCGCUCCUUGGUUCUUCCAAAUUCUGAAUCGUUGUACUAUUCGAGGGAUGACCUUUCCUUGAGGGGUGCGUCAGGAUCGAACUCCGGAUUGCUGCUUUUGUUGUUUCGUACUAUUCGUCCAGAUUUUUCUUCUCUUCUUCGUUUAUGACAAAGUCUGAUGAUCGAUGUAAGGCAUCCUGAAUUGUCUGCGGUGUGUUGAGCACCAUCUCCCAUCGAAAUUUGGAUUUGUACCAUAAAGAUCCCUUCAAUGCUUCAAGUGCAGCCUUGUCUCUUAUUCCUUCUAUUUUGAACACGACCGCUUUGAAUCUUGCCAUGUAAUCUCAAAGUGGCUCGUUCGAUCAUUGGGAUAACGUCCAUAUGUCAGCGUCAGAAGUUCCUCGGUCCAGGAACAUUGAGUACUGCUUCAUGAACAUUGGGAGAGCUGCUGAAAACCGUUGAUCGAGUUGUGCUCCUGCCUUGAAAACCAUUCCAGUGCGGUUCCUUGAGAUGAUCUACGAAGAGCAGAUAGUAACCGGCAUCCUUUUCCUGCUCGGUCAGAUUGGCGGCGUUCUUUGUGAAGGCUCGUCCCAUUGCUAUGCGAAUGCUGUGAUAUGCGCCUUCGGGUCGGUCAUACCUUCAUAAAUCGGGAUUGUGGCAUUCCCCGGUUCAGAAAUCCUAGCCUCCGUUAUUCUUGCCAUGAACGGGGUUCUUUGAGUUUCUUCGAGCAUUCGAUCAAUUUCCGGUGCGACACUUAUCGCGUUAUGCACUUGAGACUUUAUGGCGCGUAUCUCUGCCACUUUCCAAGCCAUUGAGGCUCGCAACUCUUCCAUCUCCGAGGUUUGCGCGCGUGUCAUUCUCCUAGGUGGGAGAGGUCGCUCCUAGUCUUCUCUCCUCGGCGCGUCUCCGUACUCCGCCGGCUCGACCCAUUGGAGGUUCUCCUCUUUUUUAAGUUGGAUCGUUAUAGUGAUUUGGAUCGGUGACUCUGUCAGUUUGGAUGCUAUUAAGCGCCGAGGCGAGCUCUUCUUGACUUAUCUGCCGAGCCGAGCCAUUUUGCUGCGAGUUUCUGGUUCCGUCACUCUGCUGGGAGUCCACGUCGAUCACGUCGUUUUCCUCCUCAUCACCUCUCCGUCUUGAAUUCUGACAAAGCGGGGGUGGCUCGGUCAUGUUGACUCAGGUUGCUGCUGGAGUUCGUUCGCCGAGGGGACGAAACAUUCGUGGAGCCAUGGGAUUUCUUAUGCCGCUACCGGAUGCUCCUGCAGGUGUCGAGAAGUCGAAGCGCUUCCUGACUCCAUCUAUUGGAUCGGAGAUCCUAGCUCUCCAAGUCGGAUGCUGUCUUUCAGCCGUUAUUGCGUCGAGUCUCUCCGUGAUCGCUUCGUUCCUCUUAUCCUGCUCGUCGAUUUUCUUCAUCAAUGUGGCCAUCAUAUUCUGCAUCUCCUCCUGCGCUUCGGUAGUUGUCGUUGUCGUGCUUGGUGGUGGAGCGUCCUUCUCUGCGCCGUUGUUGUUGUUGUUCUCGUUGUCGGAAGCGUUGCUUGCCAUGAUCUUAUAGUCUUGUCGAUUUUAAAGUAAGAAAUUUUGAUGUCCCUACAGACGGCGCCAAAUUGUGUGAGCCAAAACUCGCACAACCAAAAAUUUGUUAAGGAAAACUUAAGGAAUCCAAAAUUUAUAGGGUUUAUCACAAGAACAGUAAGAUUGAAAGAGGGUUUUUUUUGCUGGAAAAGUGUUUUAGUCUUAUUGCUCUCGAGUCGGUAAAAGUUACAUAAUGAAUCGAUUACAUUGAUUAUUUAUACUCAAUCUUUAAACCGUCUAGCCGAAAAUCUCGGGAAAUAUUUUUGGAAUAUUUAUUUAUCACCUUGUGCGGCCGCUGCCAUAUCGCUUUGUCUAGAGUUUCUAUGUGCCUUACAUCUUCGUGGCUAGGCCCACUAGUUGUUGGAGUCUGCUUACUGAAGCGUCACGCUGUUUGUCCCAACUCAUCGAGGCGCGGCUCGGCCCAUGUCUCACAGUACGACUCGGCCGACUUACUCCCUCUGCAGGGCUCGGUCAAUCCAACUAAGAAGCAGCUCGGCUCGACCUAUGUCUCCUCGUGCGCAGCUCGGUUUUUCCUUUGCGGGGCUCGGUUUUUCCAGGUACCUAGUCAUUUUCGAGAUGGUUAAAAUGUUUGGGGUGAAAUCGACCCCAACAAACUCCACUAAUCUAACUCGUUCAAUCCUUAGACAACACUUCAUUAAUUCAUCCAUAGCCAUUCAGUGUAACUUUAAUCCAUCAUUGGUCUUCUUUGAACCGCACCAACUUGGAUCUUGAGUGAAAGUCUUCGGCCUUGUCUUCUUGACUUCAGCCUCGCCUCUUCUUCUCUUCUUCCUCUCUAAUACUCCCCCGCAAGCUUGGUCGUCGAGACCCCAAAGAGGCCUAGAGGCCAAGCUUCCAACACGCCAUACUACGUCAUUAAAAACCUUCAUAAAGAAAACAUCUUGGGAUAAAACUUAUGAAGGUAAAAAGAGUAUAGUUUAAUGAUUGCUUGAUAUAGCUAUGAACUUGGUUUGAAAUUCAGAAUUGGCACCAUCUUCCAAGUGUUUCCAUUCCUGUUAGCCCAUCUUGACUUGAUUUCUCUUCACAAGAACCUCUUCAUUCCUCCUAUUGCUUCUUUUAAAAUUUUCACACAUUCCUCCUCUCCUUUAAACCUUCAUCAUGAGAUUUAAAUAAAAUUUUUAAAGUAUAUGUUGUGGGGUUUUAAGAAACAUAAAUGAAACUUGUGUUUUGCAAAAGGAGAAAAUACUAAAGCAUAAUGGACUCAGGUAAUGAAAUUAACAAAUCAAAAAUGGGAUACAGUUUAGAGUUUACCCUUUUGAGAUGAAGAGGACUUCGAGGAUUUUGAGAUGCAGUUUUGCUCCAUGAGACAUUGCAUCGAUUUGUCUCUCCAUUUGAGGUUUAUCCUCCUCCGCACUUCUUGACUUGGAUAUGGUUUGACACCACAUCUUGACACCUUGUGGAUUUCCUGAACCCCAUCAGCUAUACACAUACACAAACGCUUUGGGAUUGUUUCAGAGCCUUCCACCAGCUUUCCUCUACACUUGAACUUCCACCUUAGCCACCUUGGGGUCUGUUAUCUUCAGGUCAGCCUCUUUGGUCCGCCAUCAUCAAGUCAGCCGGGUUAAGACUAGAUUGGGCUUGUCUUGUGGUCUCCAAAGCUUGAUGGUUACUGGUUCAAACUCCAAGCAUUAUGUUGGGCGUCUUUUUCAUGGCUUUCUUGAAGCCUUUAGUGUUUGAAUCUAGCCUCAUGACUGUUUCAAAACACUGCACACUCGCUAUGCUUUCAUGAGAGAGAAAGCGAUCCCAAAUGAAAACAAAACACCAUCUCACUGUUUGAAAUUUUAAACAUUUGAAUUAUUUAUGAUAGUGAGAGGUUGAGAGAAUAAAGAAUUAGGAGAUUGGUGAAGAAUAGAGAGAAUAGUGGAAGAAAACAGAAUUUAGAGAAUGGAGGAGAAUAGACAAAAUACGCGGAAGCAAAAUAGAAUGGAGAAUAGAGAAUUUGCUCAAGAGUUCAAAUGGACAGAUUUUUGCUCUGUUUUUCCUAAGUUUUGCGGAAGCAAAGAGAACCAAGAACAACCAAGAACAGCAAGAACUUUGGUGUAUUAAUGGCUUUAAAAAUAAUUACUCACAUUAUCACACAUGGAGAAGAAUUUUCUGUGAGCUUUAAACAACAAGAGCAAAGAAAUAACACAAGACUUAGUGUUUUCCAUGACUUUAAACAAGAGAAAAAAAUUGUCUUGAAUAAAAAUGGUGAAAAACGAGGAAAGUCACUGCUCUGAUACCAUGUUGGAAUUUAUGAAAAUGAGAAAAGGAACAAUCAACUUGCGACAGAACCAACACAAAGAACUUGAUAGAACCUCACCAAGGUGAAUGAAACUGAUUCUAUAAAGGAGAGAAAUAAAUCUAUAUGAGACUUAACCUGAGGAGUAAUACAACACAAUAGAGUUUUUAUACUCAAAAGAAGGAUCAGAAUCAGUAAAUUGAUUCAUUAUUAAGAGAGAAAUAACAAGAGAACUAGAAAUUGUUCUUUAGUAGAGAAUGAGAAAAGCAAAUGAAUCACUCUUGAAUUACUUAGGAAAGGAUGAAUUAAAGAGUGUAUUUGGCUGCUAUAAGCAGCCCUACACGUGUUCUUACUUAGUCUACAUUGUGACUUUAGGACAAGAACACAAGAGAAAAAUAAGAGAGAUAAUAUUGUGUAAAAUACUUGUGUAUAUUAAGAUGAUUCUUGUGACCAUAUUACAGACAUAUAUAUAUAUAGCGAAUUAAACAUGAGAAACCUAGUGUGAACAUUUUAAAAUAUCGUUCUGUAUUACAAGGAAAGACAGAGUCACAUGCUUCUUUAUUUAGUGUUCACACUAUUGAAAGUGACAGCUCACAAACGGUCACAUACGACUAAAGCCACAUGUGAGUCCAGACUCCAAUUCAAAUCGGUUUCCCUUCUCUUCUUGUCACUUAUGGGCUUUGUCUUGCAUACACUGGGCUUUAUUCCUUCUCAUUCUUGCCCUUCUUGGAUAUGGGCCUCGCCCUUCUUGCAGAUGAACCUCAGCCUUGAUCUUCUUGUAGAUGUGCCGAGACUAAGUGAUUGAGUCUCACUAGAAUGUAGAGCUGUACGGUCUCUUAUCAGCCUCUAACGGUCAGAUAUCAAUCCGCAGCUCACCACACAGUCUUGAUCUGUAUGGACGCUUAUCGGUCUUCAGCCUUUAAGCGUCCUACUUCCUGAUCUAUUGAGAACUCCACUUAUCUAACUCCUUCAAUCCUUACACAACACUUCAUUAACUCCUCCAUAGCCUCUCAAUGUAACUUUAAUCCAUCAUUGGUCUUUUUUGAACCGCACCAACUUGGAUCUUGAGUGAAAUUCUUCGGCUUUGUCUUCUUGACUUCGGCCUCACCUCUUCUUCUCUUCUUCCUCUCUAAUACUCCCCCACAAGCUUGGUCGUCGAGACGCUAAAGAGGACCACAGGCCAAGCUUGCAACACGCCAAACUACCUCAUUAAAAAUCUUACUAAAGAAAACCUCUUGCAAUAAAACUUUAUGAAGGGAAAAAGAGUAUAGGUUAACGAUUUCAUGAUGUAGCUAUGGCCUUGGUUUGAAAUUCAGAAUUGGCACCAUCUCCCAAUUGUUUCCAUUCCUUUUAGCCCUUCUUGACUUGAUUUUUCUUUGCAAGAACCUCUUGUUUCGUCCUAUUGCUUCUUUUGAGAAUUUUCACAUAUUCCCCCUUGAUAACACCGUAUUUUGACCACUUUUGUGGAUUGUUUUUAAAUGCUUUUCAAAUGCUUUUUAUUUCUUUUAAGUGUUUUAAGUAUGGUUUCUAGCACUUGCAGAUAUCUAGGGUUAUAAUUUUUAAAACAUGAAGCAGCGAAGUCAACCCUAGCAGCAUCACUCCUCUCCUUUAAACCUUCAUCAUGAGAUUUAAAGAAAACUUUUAUGUUGUGGGGUUUUAUGAAACAUAAAUUAAACUUUGAGUUUUGCAAAAUGAGAAAAUACUAAAGCAUAAUGGACUCAGGUAAUGAAAUAAACAAAUUAAAAAUGGGAUACAGUUUAGAGUUUACACUUUUGAGAUGAAGAGGACUUUGAGGAUUUUGAGAUGCAGUUUUGCUCCAUGAUACAUUACAUCGAUUUGUCUCUCCAUUUGAGGUUUAUCCUCCUCCGCACUUCUUGACUUGGAUAUGGUUUGACACCACAUCUUGACACCUUGUGGAUUUCCUGAACCCGAUCAGCUAUACACAUAUACAAACGCUUUGGGGUUGUUUCAGAGCCUCCCACCAGCUUUCCUCUACACUUGAACUUCCACCUUAGCCACCUUGGGGUCUGUUAUCUUCAGGUCAGCCUCUUUGGUCUGCCAUCUUCAAGUCAUCCGAGUUAAGACUAGAUUGGUCUUGUCUUGUGGCCUCCAAAGCUUGAUGGUUACUGGUUCAAACUCCAAGCAUUAUGUUGGGCGUCUUUUUCAUGGCUUUCUUGAAGCCUUUAGUGUUUGAAUCUAGCCUCAUGACUGUUUCAAAACACUGCACACUCGCUAUGCUUUCAUGAGAGAGAAAGCGAUCCCAAAUGAAAACAAAACACCAUCUCACUGUUUGAAAUUUUAAACAUUUGAAUUAUUUAUGAUAGUGAGAGGUUGAGAGAAUAAAGAAUUAGGAGAUUGGUGAAGAAUAGAGAGAAUAGUGGAAGAAAACAGAAUUUAGAGAAUGGAGGAGAAUAGACAAAAUACGCGGAAGCAAAAUAGAAUGGAGAAUAGAGAAUUUGAAGAGUUCAAAUGGACAGAUUUUUGCUCUAUUUUUCCUAAGUUUUGCUGAAGCAAAGAGAGCCAAGAACAACCAAGACCAGCAAGAACUUUGGUGUUUUAAUGGCUUUAAAAUAAAUUACUCACAUAAUCACACAUGGAGAAGAAUUUCUAUGAGCUUUAAACAACAAGAGACAAGAAAUAACACAAGACUCAGUGUUUUCCAUGACUUUAAACAAGAGAAAAAAACAGACUUGAAUAAAAAUGGUGAAAAACGAGGAAAGUCACCAAGAAAGACUGCACUGAUACCAUGUUGGAAUUUAUGAAAAUGAGAGAAGGAACAAUCAACUUGCGACUGAACCAAUACAAAGAACUUGAUAGAACCUCACCAAAGUGAAUGAAACUGAUUCUAUCAAGGAGAGAAAUAAAUAUAUAUGAGGCUGAACCUGAGGAGUAACACAACACAAUAAGAGUUUUUAUACUCAAAAGAAGGAUAAGAAUCAGUAAUUUGAUUCAUUAUUAAGAGAGAAAUAACAAGAGAACUAGAAAUUGUUCUUUAGUAGAGAAUGAGAAAAGCAAAUGAAUCACUCUCGAAGCCUAUCACUCCGUCGCGGUGGCAUUGGUGUCUGCUCCAUCGGCGGGAGCAGCCGCGUGACUCCCAAAGUUGCUGUGCACUUGCGCCUUGACGAUUUCAAAGGUCUCAGUAGCAUGACGGAUGUUUAUCAGAAGAACAACUGUAAAUCGAAGAGGCUAAUCGGAGAGGCUGGCCGAGAGAUUGACAAUGUCAAGGUGGAUCCGAUUUGUGUUUUUUUUUUAUGUAUACGAGAAAUUAGUAAUUGGUUCAACUUUGGUUUAUGAAAUUAAAAUUUACAAGAAAAAAAAUUGAACAUCGGUUUAGCAAAUU
rnacentral:lncRNA from 1 species